rnacentral:rRNA from 1 species
UAUCCUCGUACCUUUUGCAUCAUGAUUUAGCUAGAAAAUUCAAGCAAAGAGCCCUUUAGUUUGAAACCCCGAAACUGAGUGAGCUACUCCAAGACAGCCUAUUAAUUAGGGCACACCCGUCUCUGUGGCAAAAGAGUGGGAAGAGCUUUGAGUAGAGGUGACAGACCUACCGAACUCAGUUAUAGCUGGUUGCCUGUGAAUUGAAUAUAAGUUCAGCCUCCCAGCUUCUUAAUAAACCGAGAGAGUUAGUCAAAGGGGGUACAGCCCCUUUGAAACAGACACAACUUUUAUAGGAGGGUAAAGAUCAUACUAUUUAAGGAAAUUUGCCCUGGUGGGCCUGAAAGCAGCCAUCCUAACAGAAAGCGUUAUAGCUCAAGCAUCCGAUUCAGAUAACUCUAUCUUAACCCCCUUAUCUUACCAGGCCCUUCUAUUUACAUAGAAGAGACUAUGCUAAUAUGAGUAAUAAGAAAGAUCUUUCUCACAGCAUACGUGUAAAUCGGAACGGACCCCCCGCCGAAAAUCAACGGACCCAACCAAAGAGGGAAUUGAAAAAACACCAGAAAAACCUUCACCGUUAAUCCCACACAGGCAUGCAUUUAAAUGAAAGACUAAAAGAUAAGAGAAGGAACUCGGCAAAAAAGCCUCGCCUGUUUACCAAAAACAUCGCCUCUUGAAAAAAUAAGAGGUCCUGCCUGCCCAGUGACACAAGUUUAACGGCCGCGGUAUUUUGACCGUGCUAAGGUAGCGCAAUCACUUGUCUUUUAAAUGAAGACCCGUAUGAAUGGCAAAACGAGGGCUUAACUGUCUCCUCUAUCCAGUCAAUGAAAUUGAUCUCCCCGUGCAGAAGCGGGGAUACCACCAUAAGACGAGAAGACCCUAUGGAGCUUUAGACAACAAUUCAGCCCGUCCCCAAAUUCUAAAUAAACGAACACACUUAACGGCCCCUGUAUUAAUGUCUUCGGUUGGGGCGACCGCGGGGAAAUACAAAACCCCCAUGUGGAAUAAGAGCACUCUUAGAAACUAGAGGGACACCUCUAAUUAACAGAACUUCUGACCUUAAAUGAUCCGGCCUGCCGAUCAGCGAACCAAGUUACCCUAGGGAUAACAGCGCAAUCCUCUUUUAGAGCCCAUAUCGACAAGGGGGUUUACGACCUCGAUGUUGGAUCAGGACAUCCUAAUGGCGCAG